rnacentral:rRNA from 1 species
GACGAACGCUGGCGGCGUGCUUAACACAUGCAAGUCGAACGGAAAGGCCCUGCUUUUGUGGGGUGCUCGAGUGGCGAACGGGUGAGUAACACGUGAGUAACCUGCCCUUGACUUUGGGAUAACUUCAGGAAACUGGGGCUAAUACCGGAUAGGAGCUCCUGCUGCAUGGUGGGGGUUGGAAAGUUUCGGCGGUUGGGGAUGGACUCGCGGCUUAUCAGCUUGUUGGUGGGGUAGUGGCUUACCAAGGCUUUGACGGGUAGCCGGCCUGAGAGGGUGACCGGCCACAUUGGGACUGAGAUACGGCCCAGACUCCUACGGGAGGCAGCAGUGGGGAAUACUGCACAAUGGGCGGAAGCCUGAUGCAGCAACGCCGCGGGCGGGAUGACGGCCUUCGGGUUGUAAACCGCUUUCGCCUGUGACGAAGCGUGAGUGACGGUAAUGGGUAAAGAAGCACCGGCUAACUACGUG